AGUCUUUGAUUGGGGGAGGGAGGGGAACAGCAAAUGUUUAUGGUUUAGGAUCAGUCUCUGAUUGGGGGAAGGAGGGGAACAGUGAAUGUUUAUGAAUGAUUUAGGAUCAGUCUGUGUUUCGGGGAGGGGGGAGAACAGUGAAUGUUUAUGAUUUAGGAUCAGUCUCUGAUUGGGGGAGGGGGUAGAACAGUAAAUGUUAAU